rnacentral:rRNA from 1 species
GUCCUUUAGAAUUUAAUUUAAGGUCUAACCUGCCCACUGAAAAUUAUUUUAAAUGGCCGCAGUAAUUUGACUGUGCAAAGGUAGCAUAAUCAUUAGUUUUUUAAUUGAAAGCUUGUAUGAAGGGUUGGACGAGGUAAAAUCUGUCUCUAAUAAAUUUAAUUUAGAAUUUAACUUUUAAGUUAAAAGGCUUAAAUAAUAUUAAAAGACGAGAAGACCCUAUAGAUCUUUAUAAUUAAAAUAUUAAAUUUAAUUAGGAAUUUUUAAAAUUUUAUUUAUUUAAUUAUUUUAUUGGGGUAAUAUAAAGAUUUAAGUAAUUCUUUUUUUUUAUUUACAUAAAUUUAUGAGUUUUUGAUCCAGUUAUAUUGAUUAUAAGAUUAAGUUACCUUAGGGAUAACAGCGUAAUUUUUUUUGAGAGUUCUUAUCGAUAAAAAAGUUUGCGACCUCGAUGUUGGAUUAAAGAUUAUUUCAGGUGCAGAAGUUUGAAAAUUUUGGUCUGUUCGACCAUUAAAUCUUUACAUGAUCUGAGUUCAGACCGGCGUAAGCCAGGUCGGUUUCUAUCUUUAAUAAAUUAUAAUAUUUUAGUACGAAAGGACCAAUUAUUUGAUACAAAGUAUUUUAAUUUUGAUUAUUAUUA